rnacentral:rRNA from 1 species
UACAUAGGGUGCAAGCGUUGUCCGGAAUUAUUGGGCGUAAAGAGCUCGUAGGUGGUUCGAUACGUCGGAUGUGAAAAUCAGGGGGCUCAACCCCUGACCUGCAUCCGAUACGGUCGAGCUGGAGUUUGGUAGGGGAGACUGGAAUUCCUGGUGUAGCGGUGGAAUGCGCAGAUAUCAGGAGGAACACCGAUGGCGAAGGCAGGUCUCUGGGCCGAUCCUGACGCUGAGGAACGAAAGCGUGGGGAGCAAACAGG